rnacentral:rRNA from 1 species
UACGUAGGGGGCUAGCGUUGUCCGGAAUCAUUGGGCGUAAAGAGCGCGUAGGCGGCCAGGUAAGUCCGGUGUGAAAGUCACAGGCUCAACCUGUGAAUGCCGCUGGAAACUGUCUGGCUAGAGUCCGGAAGGGGCGAGUGGAAUUCCUGGUGUAGCGGUGAAAUGCGCAGAUAUCAGGAGGAACACCAAUGGCGAAGGCAGCUCGCUGGAACGGUACUGACGCUGUGGCGCGAAAGCGUGGGGAGCAAACAGG